GAUGAAGAACGUAGCGAAAUGCGAUAAGUAGUGUGAAUUGCAGAAUUCAGUGAAUCAUCGAAUCUUUGAACGCACAUUGCGCUUCCUGGCAUUCCGGGAGGCAUGCCUGUUCGAGCGUCAUCAAACCCCAUCGUGCAAAUGAAUUAUUUUUUUUGCGCGGAAGUGACGAUUGAGCGAGAAUAACAAAUCCUCUCGCACCUCGUCGAAAUGAUUGCGGGCGGAAUUUGGGAUCGGGUUCCUCGGCGUAGUGUAUCAAUGCAUAUUUAUGCAACUUGCCGCGGAGUUGAGCCUGACCCACGCGUUCUCGCCGUACAAACACCUCAUUACUUUACAAGUUUUUGACCUCGGAUCAGGUAGGGAUACCCGCUGAACUUAAGCAUAUCAAUAAGCGGAGGA
rnacentral:misc_RNA from 1 species